GCCUGGGUGGCUCAGUCGAUUAAGCAUCCGACUUCGGCUCAGGUCAUGAUCUCACGGUUCGUGGGUUCGAGCCCCGCUCUGGGCU
rnacentral:tRNA from 1 species